rnacentral:rRNA from 1 species
UACAUGGGGUGCAAACGUUGCUCGGAAUUAUUGGGCGUAAAGCGCACGUAGGCGGUUCGUUAAGUCGGAUGUGAAAGCCCUCGGCUCAACUGAGGAAGUGCACCCGAAACUGGCGAGCUUGAGUACGAAAGAGGAUCGCGGAAUUCCCGGUGUAGAGGUGAAAUUCGUAGAUAUCGGGAGGAACACCGGUGGCGAAGGCGGCGAUCUGGGCCGAAACUGACGCUGAGGAGCGAAAGCGUGGGGAGCGAACAGG